rnacentral:rRNA from 1 species
AUUGAACGCUGGCGGCAGGCCUAACACAUGCAAGUCGAGCGGAUGAACGGAGCUUGCUCCUGGAUUCAGCGGCGGACGGGUGAGUAAUGCCUAGGAAUCUGCCUGGUAGUGGGGGAUAACGUCCGGAAACGGGCGCUAAUACCGCAUACGUCCUGAGGGAGAAAGUGGGGGAUCUUCGGACCUCACGCUAUCAGAUGAGCCUAGGUCGGAUUAGCUAGUUGGUGGGGUAAAGGCCUACCAAGGCGGCGAUCCGUAACUGGUCUGAGAGGAUGAUCAGUCACACUGGAACUGAGACACGGUCCAGACUCCUACGGGAGGCAGCAGUGGGGAAUAUUGGACAAUGGGCGAAAGCCUGAUCUAGCCAUGCCGCGUGUGUGAAGAAGGUCUUCGGAUUGUAAAGCACUUUAAGUUGGGAGGAAGGGCAGUAAGUUAAUACCUUGCUGUUUUGACGUUACCAACAGAAUAAGCACCGGCUAACUUCGUG